rnacentral:lncRNA from 1 species
UGCGGUCUGUACAAACUACGAAACACUAUUAAAUUACAUCGUUUUGUUAGAUUUAGAUGUGACAGUUUUCCAUUAUUUGUGCGAUCUCCGAUAGUUCUGGGCUAUUUGACAGUUAUGAUUAUUUUGCGGUUUAUGUAAAACACCGGAUUUGCACUUCCUGUGAUCGUUUAUAAUGGGAGGCUUUUUAUUGCGUUACUUAAGACGAAAUUUCUUUUCGCAGUUUUGCUUCGCAACUUUAUAUUUUCUUUGUGGAAAACGCUUUUAUUCGGAUGAAAUAACAGCGGAAAAAUUUAGUAUAAAAUUUUUUUUCCGACACGUUCUAGUUGGCAUUUACUUAUACUUGUACUUCAGUCAAAAAUCAUUUAGGAAAAAAUUGCUUAAAAACAUUGAUUGUAAAACUGUUCGCGAACGAUGUGCCUUUCAUUUCUAAGAUAACUGAUUGAGUACAGAAAUGCAUCUGCUACUAGGUAAAUUAUCUUAGAGAAUGAACAGGGAAAGCUGUAGAGCAGAUCUGCAGUUUUAGGCAAACUAUUCGAUUUUUCUAUUGACACACUUAUAAAUCCUUACAUAAUAUUCUCUGUUGGUGGUUGUAACGAAUGUUUGUUUAUAGAUUAUUUUGUUACAUAUUUUUAAUAAAGUUAAUUUUUAGGAAAAUAUUGGAAAAAAAUGAAGUUUGCAAUAGUAGUAAUUUUUUAAUAUUUUUAUUAAUAACCUAAAACUUAAUAUAUUACAUGGCUUAACUAUUAAAUAAUAAAUAG